GAGGGCCCCCAGCGGAGCGGCGCCGGGCCCGGGACCCCGCGCCUAGGAGGCCCGCCCCCCGCGCCAAGCACAUGCGAGUGCGGGAAGCCAAAGCGACCAAAGACGCCGAAAGGAAACCAAGCAGGGAAUUGGUGCAAGAGGAGGAAGAACAGUUGAUGGAAGAAAAGAGAAAGAGGAAAGACGACAAGAGAAAGAAAGAAGCUGCUCAGAAGAAGGUGAGUGGGGGGGGGGGAGUAAGGUGUUUCGUAAAGUGAAGUUGUGCCCUGGGGUUACCUGGAUGAUGUUCCAGAUGUGUGCACGCUACUUAAGAUACUUGCUUGGGGCGUAUUAAUUUAGGGGGGAAAAGUGAGUGCUCUACAACCGGUCUGGCAUGUGACAGAAAUAUCAGAUGACGCCAGAGUCGCCUUGUGGGAGGGAUGGGCGGCAUAAAAAUUUAAUAACUAAAUAAUAAAUAAAAUUACACACACA
rnacentral:lncRNA from 1 species